ACUUGCAAACAUUUAAGCCAUCUAGAGGAUGACUAGGCUCUGGCAGCGAUGAAGGUCGUGGCAAGCUGCGAAAAGCCCAGGGUAGGCGCAUGUCAGCCCUUGAACCUGGGAUAACCGAAUCGCGCACGCGCAAGCGUGCGAGCCUAACGCGGGGAACUGAAGCAUCUUAGUACCCGCAGGAAAAGAAAACAACUGUGAUUCCAUCAGUAACGGCGAGUGAAAGUGGAAGAGGGCGAGCCGAAUCCGGAUUUGCAAAAGUUCGGAGAUGUAGUUCAGCAAGGUCCGUACCAUUAGCCGAACGCUCUGGAAAGAGCGGCCAAAGAGAGUGACAGCCUCGUAAGCGGAAACGGUGCGGAAUUAGCUGUGAAAAGAGUAGCACGGCCUAAAUACGUCGUGCGAAUACGGGGGCAUUAAACCCCAACCCUAAAUAUUGGCCAGAGACCGAUAGCGAAUAAGUAGCGCGAGCGAACGUUGAAAAGGACGCACACGUGUGCGUGUGAAAAGAUCUGAAACUAGGUGGUUACAAGAAGGUAAGGCGCGAAGAGAUGAACCGCAAGGGAAUCAGCGUUUUACCCUUCUUCUUGAAGCAAGAGCCAGGGAGUGUAAGGUAGUGGCGAGUAUCAAAGCGAAGCGAAAGCGAGUCAUCCCGCAAGGGAUGCGGGUGCGAAAGCGCCCCAGCCACUAUUCUACGACCCGAAGCCAUUGUGAACUACUCGCGGGCAGGGCGAAGUCGAAUUGACGUUCGAUGGAGGCCCGCAACCUGUCAUGGUAUAUCCUGUUGGGUGACCUGCGAGUAGGGGCGAUAGACCGUUCGAACAUGGCAAUAACGGGUCCCCUUCGAAGUAUCUUUAGGAUAGCCUUGGGCAGCUUGCGCACGUGGUAGAGCGACCGAUUCUUUGGUGCGUGCCGAAAGGCUCGGCCAUCGAGUCAAACUCCGAAUAUGUGCGCUGCGUAACCCGGGAGUCGGCGGCAUUGGGUAAGCUAGUGCGGCGAGACUUUAAAGCGAGUGACUGAGGUUAAGGUCCCAAAGUCGUGGUUAAGUGUAUCGAAGGAGGCUUGUGUCUUAGACAGUCGGGAGGUAGGCUUAGAAGCAGCCAUCCUUCAAAAAACGCGUAACAGCGUACCGAUUGAGACAUGGGUCUCCGAAGAUGGACGGGGCUAAACUGCGUACCGAGACCCCAGAGGCAUACGCAAGUAUGCGUUGGUAGGAGGGCGUGCUGUAUGGCAAGAAGUUCGG
rnacentral:rRNA from 1 species